GCUUCUGGGGUUCUCUUAGCGUGCAUGGAGUCCGCAUGUGCUUGGUGGCUGCUCUGACUCUGUGACGUGCCAGACGGGGACAGGGGCCUGUAGGAGGGACGCAGGGACCCCCUGGAAGCUGAGACAUGGACCCUGUCGCCUUUGAGGAUGUUAGUGUGAACUUCACCAAGGAAGAGUGGGCUUUCCUGGAUCCUUCACAGAAGAAACUCUACAGAGAUGUGAUGUGGGAAACCAUUAAGAACCUGCACUGUGCAGGAAGAAACUUGGGAGAGCAGAAUCUUGACUAUCAGUAUCAAAAUGCCAAGAAACACCUAAGAGGUCAUAUACCAAAGAGACCGUAUGAAC